GUCCCGGUAGCUCAGUUGGAUAGAGCAACGGCCUUCUAAGCCGUGGGUCGGGGGUUCGAAUCCCUCCCGGGGCACCA
rnacentral:tRNA from 1 species